UACGUAGGGGGCAAGCGUUGUCCGGAUUUACUGGGCGUAAAGGGAGCGUAGGUGGAUAUUUAAGUGGGAUGUGAAAUACUCGGGCUUAACCUGGGUGCUGCAUUCCAAACUGGAUAUCUAGAGUGCAGGAGAGGAAAGUAGAAUUCCUAGUGUAGCGGUGAAAUGCGUAGAGAUUAGGAAGAAUACCAGUGGCGAAGGCGACUUUCUGGACUGUAACUGACACUGAGGCUCGAAAGCGUGGGGAGCAAACAGGG
rnacentral:rRNA from 1 species